rnacentral:rRNA from 1 species
GUAAGGAAUAUUGGUCAAUGGACGAAAGUCUGAACCAGCCAUGCCGCGUGGAGGAUGAAGGUCCUCUGGAUUGUAAACUUCUUUUAUAUGGGACGAAAAUGGGGCUUUCUAGCUCAACUGACGGUACCAUAUGAAUAAGCACCGGCUAACUCCGUGCCAGCAGCCGCGGUAAUACGGAGGGUGCAAGCGUUAUCCGGAUUCACUGGGUUUAAAGGGUGCGUAGGUGGAUUGGUAAGUCAGAGGUGAAAUCUCCGGGCUCAACUCGGAAACUGCCUUUGAUACUAUCAAUCUUGAAUAUUGUGGAGGUUAGCGGAAUAUGUCAUGUAGCGGUGAAAUGCUUAGAUAUGACAUAGAACACCAAUUGCGAAGGCAGCUGGCUACACAUAUAUUGACACUGAGGCACGAAAGCGUGGGGAUCAAACAGGAUUAGAUACCCCUGUAGUCC